rnacentral:rRNA from 1 species
AUUGAACGCUGGCGGCAGGCCUAACACAUGCAAGUCGAGCGCCCCGCAAGGGGAGCGGCAGACGGGUGAGUAACGCGUGGGAAUCUACCCAGCUCUACGGAAUAACUCAGGGAAACUUGUGCUAAUACCGUAUACGUCCGAUAGGGGAAAGAUUUAUCGGAGUUGGAUGAGCCCGCGUUGGAUUAGCUAGUUGGUGGGGU